UGGGGAAUAUUGGACAAUGGGCCACAAGCCUGAUCCAGCAAUUCUGUGUGCACGAUGAAGGUCUUCGGAUUGUAAAGUGCUUUCAGUUGGGAAGAAGAAAGUGACGGUACCAACUGAAGAAGCGACGGCUAAAUACGUG
rnacentral:rRNA from 1 species